UCCCUGGAGGGUGGGGAGUGGGGCCCAGGCUCCUAUCUUCUAAUUGCAUGGGUGGUUCCUCUGGUCUUAAAGAUAUUUAGGGGGCAACAGUGUUACCUCAUUAGCAUAAACCCAGGUUCUCAACUGAAACAUCGGUCGUUCCUGGAGCAGUUAAAAUGAUGUCAAAUGCACCAAUUAUUUAUAGCAGUCCCAGUCUAUUCCUGACCUCACCUGGUGUGAAUGACAGCUCUUCCCUGCACAGCGGGGGCCGUCUCCUUGUGACCACGGUGAUAGGUUCCACCUGAGCGGCUUCAACUGGGGAAACUCCAAACAUUUAGUCUUGGUUAAUUAUUCUUCAUCUCACCGUCUCGAACUUUCAAAUACUAGAGAUGCUGUACCAAAGGUGGCUCAAGGACAAGUGUGGUGCAGGACAGACGGUGGGACCUCUUGUAACAGAGGCCCUGUGGAUGGCUGAAGACCUAGUGUGCUGGUGCAACGGUACUUGGCAGAGAAGACAUUGACUUAUGGUUGAGACUGAAGGAACUCUUGUUAAUGUAGACAUGGGAAGGCAAUUAGAGGGAGCUAUGGAUUUGAGAGAAGGGAGAGGGAGGACAGAGAGGGAACAGGGUGAGAAAUGAUGGACUUCUGACAUUUCUGGGCCAUGGAGCCUGGUGAAUCCAUAGCCCUUCUAGACCUCUUUGAUCUCUCUGGUCCCUUCUCCUCCACACCAUCUCCAAUUUCAGGCUCUCACUGGGUCCUUUCAGAAGGAGAACUAAGAAACACUCCAGGAGCAGAGUGAGCCAGCGCAGAAGAAGUAAGAAAUUCAUCAUCAAACAAAAGGACUAGAAUACAUUUGAAUGAAUAAAGAGGAAAACAAAUCCAUUUUUGUUCUGCUAGAAUAUUUGAAAUUCAAAAUAACUGGUGUUUAUACAAAUUUACAGCACUUAUUGUACGUCUUAAUCACCUAUACCAUUUGGAAAGCUGUGUGUUCUCUAACUAGAGGCAGGUCCAGAAGUAAUUUACGAUGAAUCUGGCGUGCACUUCUCCCUCCAUUCCCACACUCCCUGCUCAAAUUGGGGAGCAAGUGACUGCACCUGCCUUCGACUCCAUCUCUCACCCUGCCCAUCUGCCUGUUGGAUACUGCUCCUGGGCUUGACCACACUUUUACAGGGUGGCCAAGGAAAGUCCUCGGGGGUAACAGGCCACAAAGACCCCUAGGUGAUGUCAGUUGGGGGUGGGCUGGGUGUGGAUCUGUGAAAGUUGUCAGAAUCAAUAUAGAGUCACUUAUGUCAAAUCCUAAUAAAAUGAAGUCGAGAGGCAGUGAAGGGAAGCCCUCAUGCAUAUUCGCCAUAUAAGAAGAACUAUCGCAAGAGACUGUCCCAUGCCACAACCCUGCAGUUAAGCCCGCUUGUAUGAGGACAGCUUUCCACUAACAGCCAGUCCUAAUGGCAGCCUUGCAAGUAGACUUACGAAACCACAAGCUUGCAGUUGGGGCUGCUCCUGUGAAGACCCUCUCCUAGUACUGGCCAGUGCACACUUCGCCACCUGUGAUAAGCCCUGUAACCAAUAAACUUUUGUUUCAAAACCUGCA